CUCUGUUUGAUGUUGUGUGAAACCGUGAACACAGAACUGGGAGAUGUUAACGGGCUGCCAGGUGAAAGUGGUUGCAGUCAAACAGCUGCACAGUUUGGAUUAUUAUUUUCGAAGCAUCUGACAGAAACCCCGGCCCCUUAUGUAGGAACUUACUGGAAGCGAG